AUUGAACGCUGGCGGCGUGCUUAACACAUGCAAGUCGAUCGGUAACGCGGGGGCAACCCUGGCGACGAGAGGCGGACGGGUGAGGAACGCUUGGGAAUCUGCCUAUCAGCGGGGGACAACACGGGGAAACUCGUGCUAAUACCGCAUACGCCCUACGGAGGAAAGCCGGGGACCGCAAGGCCUGGCACUGAUAGAAGAGCCCAAGCCGGAUUAGCUAGUUGGCGGGGUAACGGCCCACCAAGGCGACGAUCCGUAGCUGGUCUGAGAGGACGAUCAGCCACACUGGAACUGAGACACGGUCCAGACUCCUACGGGAGGCAGCAGUGGGGAAUAUUGGACAAUGGGGGAAACCCUGAUCCAGCGACGCCGCGUGGGUGAAGAAGGCCUGCGGGUUGUAAAGCCCUUUCGGUAGGGACGAAAGCUCUCGGCCUAACACGUCGGGAGGUUGACUUAACCUACAAAAGAAGCACCGGCUAACUCUGUGCCAGCCGCCGCGGUAACAC
rnacentral:rRNA from 1 species